GGGAGAUGGCUUGUUGUGGAAGACACAAGGAGAUUCCCAAUGUCAUGCCGAGAGCAUAGCUGGAGUACACGAACUCAGGUUCGAAAGUUCGAUGACCGGAUUCGUAGGUCAUCGGAUUUCCCCUCCAAAGGUCAAAGGAUUUUCCUACUUGCGACCUAACUGAGGAUCCACGGAACGAAGCUCGAUCACUUUGAUCCAGACCGUGGUUUAGGCUAUAGCGAGGAUUCCAUUUUUGUGUUUGAUUCGCGAAUAUAGUCUAAAAAGCUAGACUAAGGAAAGCUAGGAAAGUGUUGUGCGGGUGAAACCCGUUGUGCGUAAACCUAUCGUCAAAAAGGGUGCCAACAUAGCAACCGUUCUAGCGAUUGUUACGGAACCUCGUUCAACCAGCCACGGGAGGCUUCAAGGUUUGCCCGACGAGGCCACGUCGGAAGCGGAACCGUCCGUCAUCACACGGUUUCCGUCAGCCGGUUCGCCAAACAUCCGGCCAAUUGAUAUUCGCCCCUGAUUCGUCGAAGAACCACCAUCACCAUGUAAGGUCCCGCAGCUCCAAUAGCAGUUUGCAACAACAACAACAACAACAGCAGCAGUACUAAGUUUUUCCCGGACAAAGAGCCAGAUCGCUCUGCUUCAUCGGCAUUGAGCCAAAAACGGUACCGUAAGUAGAGCAAAUCCGAAAAAUGCGCAUUUAACCAAAUAUUCUGGCCCCUUGAAUCUCGAAUCAUCAAAAUCACACACAGUUUGAGAACUUAGCUUAUAACAGUUCCCCAGUUGAGAAGCUUCGCCACUAAAAGCCAUUCUCAAUCCAAACCGCACAACUUAGGGAAAGCAAACAGAAAGGAACGAAUGAAAACAAACAUGUAAACCUAUAAAUAGAAUCCAACAACAAAAUACAGAAAUACAUUUAUAAACACCACCUAAUGUAGGCAAUAAAUCGACUUAUAUAUGUUGUACAUAGUUCCUUUAAAAAUAAAUUGUCUAGUUAUGUCGUCUUGAAACAAUUAUGAUGUAAUUUAUUGAGCUUUCCCCCUGAACAGUUACGUCUGAUUUAAAAGGUAUUUCACGUGUUUUGUCCGCUUAGUAUCUAGAGUUUUCUUUGUUGUUUUUGCUAUUUUCUUUACUUUACUCCGGGUUGAACUGCUCGGGAAAACAGUUCCCUCGCUUACGCCUCUAUCACGGGAAGGAAAAACUUGUUAGAGUGAGUUCCACCUAUGACGAGAUGCGCAAGAGAGUACUUUUCGAGCGGAUAGAACAACGGUUUGCGUCCCAGCUAUCCUUUUGGCACGACGGUGCAACUGCUGGUCAAUUUUCCUGGCAUCCCCAUUCCCCUAAUUAUUCCGUGUCCUUUUUCGGAUCCAUUUGGACAACCCGCCCUGAGGUCGGGAGUCUAGCCGGGCAAUCAACCUCGACGAGUGGUCCUCAUAUGAGGUGGCGCGUAAAUCACUCGUCUGAUGAAAGCGGAAGUUGUAUGGGAGAGGCUGAGUCCUCACGCGCGAAAUCGCACGUGUUACAAUUGGCGCCCAACGUUCAAAAGUGGCUAAAGAUCUAAUUUAGACAAAAU